UGACGGCUACUACUAAUGGUAUUGCCCACCCUUCAGACAGCACUGAAAAUUGCAUGAAAAGUUUCUCGGUCAAUUUUCUGUGCUGUUUGACGGUUGGGCAAAACCAACACGCAGUAUCGUCA